rnacentral:rRNA from 1 species
ACGGAAGGCAGCAGUGAGGAAUAUUGGUCAAUGGGCGGAAGCCUGAACCAGCCAAGUCGCGUGAGGGAGGAAGGUCCUACGGAUUGUAAGCCUCUUUAGCCGGGGAGCAAUAAGCGCUAUGUAUAGCUUGAUGAGAGUACCCGGAGAAUAAGGAUCGGCUAACUCCGUGCCAGCAGCCGCGGUAAUACGGAGGAUCCGAGCGUUAUCCGGAUUUAUUGGGUUUAAAGGGUGCGCAGGCGGUCGAUUAAGUCAGUGGUCAAAGCACGGUGCUCAACGCCGGUCCGCCAUUGAUACUGGUUGACUUGAUUCCGGUCGAGGCAGGCGGAAUUCGUAGUGUAGCGGUGAAAUGCAUAGAUAUUACGAAGAACUCCGAUUGCGUAGGCAGCUUACCAGGCCGGCAAUGACGCUCAUGCACGAAAGUGCGGGGAUCGAACAGGAUUAGAUACCCUGGUA